CUUUAACUCUGGCGGUAGGCCUAACACAUGCAAGUCGAACGGCAGCACAGUAAGAGCUUGCUCUUACGGGUGGCGAGUGGCGGACGGGUGAGGAAUACAUCGGAAUCUACUUUUUCGUGGGGGAUAACGUAGGGAAACUUACGCUAAUACCGCAUACGACCUACGGGUGAAAGCAGGGGAUCUUCGGCCCUUGCGCGAUUGAAUGAGCCGAUGUCGGAUUAGCUAGUUGGCGGGGUAAAGGCCCACCAAGGCGACGAUCCGUAGCUGGUCUGAGAGGAUGAUCAGCCACACUGGAACUGAGACACGGUCCAGACUCCUACGGGAGGCAGCAGUGGGGAAUAUUGGACAAUGGGCGCAAGCCUGAUCCAGCCAUACCGCGUGGGUGAAGAAGGCCUUCGGGUUGUAAAGCCCUUUUGUUGGGAAAGAAAAGCAGCAGGUUAAUACCCCGCUGUUCUGACGGUACCCAAAGAAUAAGCACCGGCUAACUUCGUG
rnacentral:rRNA from 1 species